AAACGGUGGUAAUGCCGGAUGCUCCAGUUGAUCGCAUGGUCUUCUGGGAAAGCCUUUGCGGCAUGGGAUGGGGUCGCGUCCUAUCAGCUUGAUGGCGGGGUAACGGCCCACCAUGGCUUCGACGGGUAGCCGGCCUGAGAGGGCGACCGGCCACAUUGGGACUGAGAUACGGCCCAGACUCCUACGGGAGGCAGCAGUGGGGAAUAUUGCACAAUGGGCGCAAGCCUGAUGCAGCGACGCCGCGUGAGGGAUGGAGGCCUUCGGGUUGUAAACCUCUUUUGUUAGGGAGCAAGGCAUUUUGUGUUGAGUGUACCUUUCGAAUAAGCACCGGCUAACUACGUGCCAGCAGCCGCGGUAAUACGUAGGGUGCAAGCGUUAUCCGGAAUUAUUGGGCGUAAAGGGCUCGUAGGCGGUUCGUCGCGUCCGGUGUGAAAGUCCAUCGCUUAACGGUGGAUCCGCGCCGGGUACGGGCGGGCUUGAGUGCGGUAGGGGAGACUGGAAUUCCCGGUGUAACGGUGGAAUGUGUAGAUAUCGAAAAAAAA
rnacentral:rRNA from 1 species